rnacentral:tRNA from 1 species
GGAGGGUUGGCCGAGAGGUAAGGCAGCGGCUUGCUAAGCCGUCGUCAGGGUCACCCCCUGCGUGAGUUCGAUCCUCACACCCUCCG